rnacentral:lncRNA from 10 species
GUCAGAAUCACGUCCUCUAGAGAGCUGACUAUGUGGAGGAUUUCCUGAUGGAAUUUCUGGAGCCUCGCUGAUCUGCUCCAUACAUGUUGCUGAAGGAGUUACUCUGGAGCUCAGGGGAGGGUUACUUCUUGGUGGUUUGCAGGACAGCUCUGCCUGCCUCCCAGGGACAGGAUCUCUCUCUCAUCCUGACUGGAGUACAGUGAUGACAUCCCAGCUCACCGCAGCUUCGACUUUCCAGGCUCAGGUGAUCCUCCCACCUCAGUCUCCUGGGAGACUACAGGCUCUUGAUCCAUUCCUAUGGUGGGUGACAUAAUGGCCCUUCCGAAGAUGUCCGUGUCCUAAUUCCUGGAGCCUGUGAAUACACUGGCUGCAUGGCAAGGGUGGAGAUUAAGGUUGCAGAUGGAAUGAAGGUUCCAGCUCACCUUAAAAUAGAGAUUAUCUUGGGUUAUCCGAGUGGACCCAGUGUAAUCACAAGGUUUCUUUAAAUGUGAAGGAGAGAGGCAGGAGAAGAUCUACCCUGCUGGCUUUGAAGUUGGAAGGGUGCCACAAGCCACAAGUGAAGGAAUGUGGGCAGCCUCUAGAAGCUGAAAAAGGCAAGAAAGUGGAUUCUUUCUUAAAACACCCAGAAGGGAACACUGCUCUGCAGGCACCUUGAUUUCAGCCUUGUGAGACCCAUUUUGGACAUCUGACCCCCAGAACUGUAAGAUAAUAAAUCUGUGUUGUUUGAAGCCAUC